rnacentral:tRNA from 1 species
UCGGUGCUCGUCUAACUGGCAGGACGCGAGACUUGAAUCUCGAAAUCCAGGCUCGAUUCCUGGGCACCGAACCA